GGCCCGUUAGGCUCAGUUGGUUAGAGCGUCGUGCUAAUAACGCGAAGGUCGGGGGUUUUCGAUCCUCACGGGCCA
rnacentral:tRNA from 1 species